rnacentral:rRNA from 1 species
UGGGGAAUUUUGGACAAUGGGGGAAACCCUGAUCCAGCCACCCCGCGUGUGCGAUGAAGGCCUUCGGGUUGUAAAGCACUUUUGGCAGGAAAGAAACGUCGCGGGUUAAUACCCCGCGAAACUGACGGUACCUGCAGAAUAAGCACCGGCUAACUACGUGCCAGCAGCCGCGGUAAUACGUAGGGUGCAAGCGUUAAUCGGAAUUACUGGGCGUAAAGCGUGCGCAGGCGGUUCGGAAAGAAAGAUGUGAAAUCCCAGAGCUUAACUUUGGAACUGCAUUUUUAACUACCGGGCUAGAGUGUGUCAGAGGGAGGUGGAAUUCCGCGUGUAGCAGUGAAAUGCGUAGAUAUGCGGAGGAACACCGAUGGCGAAGGCAGCCUCCUGGGAUAACACUGACGCUCAUGCACGAAAGCGUGGGGAGCAAACAGGAUUAGAUACCCUGGUAGUCCACGCCCUAAACGAUGUCAACUAGCUGUUGGGGCCUUCGGGCCUUGGUAGCGCAGCUAACGCGUGAAGUUGACCGCCUGGGGAGUACGGUCGC